CCUACGGGUGGCAGCAGUGAGGAAUAUUGGUCAAUGGGCGCGAGCCUGAACCAGCCAAGUAGCGUGAAGGAUGACUGCCCUACGGGUUGUAACCUUCUUUUAUAAAGGAAUAAAGUGAGGCACGUGUGCCUUUUUGUAUGUACUUUAUGACUAAGGAUCGGCUAACUCCGUGCCAGCAGCCGCGGUAAUCUGGAGGAUUCGAGCGUUAUCCGGAUUUAUUGGGUUUAAAGGGAGUGCAGAUGGGUUGUUAAGUCAGUUGUGAAAGUUUGCGGCUCAACCGUAAAAUUGCAAUUGAUACUGGCAGUCUUGAGUACAGUUGAGGUAGGCGGAAUUCGUGGUGUAGCGGUGAAAUGCUUAGAUAUCACGAAGAACUCCGAUUGCGAAGGCAGCUUACUAAACUGCCACUGACAUUGAUGCUCGAAAGUGUGGGUAUCAAACAGGAUUACAUACCCCAGUAGUC
rnacentral:rRNA from 1 species